CCUACGGGAGGCAGCAGUGGGGAAUAUUGGGCAAUGGGCGCAAGCCUGACCCAGCAACGCCGCGUGAAGGAAGAAGGCUUUCGGGUUGUAAACUUCUUUUAAGAGGGAAGAGCAGAAGACGGUACCUCUUGAAUAAGCCACGGCUAACUACGUGCCAGCCGCCGCGGUAAUACGUAGGUGGCAAGCGUUGUCCGGAUUUACUGGGUGAAAAGGGCGUGUAGCCGGGCUGACAAGUCAGAUGUGAACUGCCGUGGCUCAAACACGGAACUGCAUUUGAAACUGUCGGUCUUGAGUAUCGGAGAGGCAGGCGGAAUUCCUAGUGUAGCGGUGAAAUGCGUAGAUAUUAGGAGGAACACCAGUGGUGAAGGCGGCCUGCUGGACGACAACUGACGGUGAGGCGCGAAAGCGUGGGGAGCAAACAGGAUUAGAUACCCCUGUAGUC
rnacentral:rRNA from 1 species